UUGCUAGGCACUUUUUGUCCUAGCAAAAAUUAAAAUUUGUUAAAAUUUGACCUUGGAACAUGCAAGGCUCAAAAUUCCUUAAGCUUCAAUUCUACGCAUCUAGAACGUCUUCUUUUCUUUAAAAAAUAAAUAAAAACCAACCAAACAAAAAAAGACACAACCACCUUGAAUAUUGUUCUUACCCACCCCAAAUAAAUGUAAAGGCAAUAUAGUAUUGUCACCGUACAACACCUAUUGCACAUUUCCCGUGCCAGACACGACGGCCAAAAAGCUCUUUCUCAUUGACCAUCCUCCAUCAAUAUUUUGGAUCCCUGAAACAAAAUCUAGAAACCAAGCAGGUUACUCCCUAAUUGAUGCUCAUGAUUUCAUCAAGAGAAAAUUCUGUGGUUUCACACACCGUGAAAUCAGAGGGAAGUAAAGACUUUGGAAGAAAACCAGGCAGUAUGUCUCACUCUUGUGACGAUGUCCUCAGUGUCUUACCUACAUUUGGUGUGGUCUCCAGUGGCCUUCUUAUAAACAAGAGCGAGAAAUGCAUCCAAUGCCUGUGCAAUCAUGUUAAUUAAAUACCAUGUUAACAACCAAACCCAAAGGGCUUUUUGACUAGGCCAUGAUCAACAUAAUAAGAAAUUGCUAAUGAUGAGUCUUCAAAACCAGGCUUGAAAGAACUGAUCAUGGUUCGGUUGCUAAGGUUUGGCACUGGCUUUUUUGACAUCGGUCAAAUCUGACUCUCGAUCCUGUAUAAUGAUAGUACCCACUCUCUUGGAUUGGAGUUUGCUUUAUUGAAUGAAACAAAGGGUUGGUUAGCAGUCCGUCAUCCUACUGCUAUGAGAGGGUGCCAGGGAAGAGAGGGUGGUCACACUGCUGCACGGCAGUAGGCUUCAUAUUUGAUUGCACAUCACUCAAUCAUGGAGAGAUUUAGAAAACCCCUCAUGGCCAAGUCCCACCACACAGCAUCAGGUCAGGGUCUUGAUUUGUGGGAUCCAGCCUGAGUAUCAUUAAGGAAGGUGAUUCUCCGCGUAGGGCGUCUGGGUUUGCAAUAUUGAUGCGAAGUCUCCACUUUUAGUUUCUAUCAGCACCUUAUGGAUGAAGACUUGAGGCCGUGCACAUUGAAGUACAUGAGCUAGCAGCUAUCUUUUUCUCAGAUGGUAUGGGACUCUAUACAUUGUUGACAGAGCAGCGGGUCCCAUUUAAGAAGUGCAAUGUGACUGGACAUAAGGAUUUGCCCUUUCAUUCAAACCUCAUGGUGGAGAAUCCACAAUGGGAGUCUGUGGCUUGGCAGCAACAACCACAGCAUGGCACACAAGCAAGAUGGUGGAGUCUUGGCGAUCAAACCCUAGGAAGAGUAGAGGAAGAAAUGGAGAAGGUUGGUGAUUAGAGAUGGGAGACUUGUGUGGGAUGACUGUCCUGGACAUGAAAAGGCUGCCACAUGAACCAGAGUUGAAUUCAUCGCCUCCCAUUCUGCAGUACAAGCAUCUUGAAUAGUUUUCUGCUUGCUCUAAAAAUGCCAAUGUGUCCUCACCAGAUUGUCUUCAGUGAUUGUUCCAGGGGACAGAUUGCUGGAAACGAUUCAUAUUUGCCUUUUCCCUUGCUUGUGUGUGUGGACCCAAGGGAGGGCGGUUGGGAAGGACAAAAUUGAAUAUUAUCUUUUUCAUUAUCCCCGGUACUGGACCCUCCAUACGAAGACAUGUUAAAAUUUGACCUUGGAACAUGCAGGGGUCAAAAUUCCUUAAGCUUCAAUUCUACGCAUCUAGAACGUCUUCUUUUCUUUAAAAAAUAAAUAAAAACCAACCAAACAAAACACACAACCACCUUGGAUAUUGUUCUUACCCACCCCAAAUAAAUGUUAAAAAAAAAAAGAUUAAAUCUGGUCAUGUGUCAUUCCCCUCCAAAGUCAGUAAUGUCACCAUACCAGUGACAUUCCUAACAGCAAGGUUAAUUCUGUGCUCACUUUGGUUCUUCAUCACACAGUAACUUGCUAGGAUCAUUCACCUUUUUUUUUUCUUUUAGAGUCAUUGCAUACAGUCUUUCCAUCUGUCUGUAACUCUGUUUUGGUUUUCUACAGGGAGAAUAAAAAUGUUCCUUCAACAUCUUAAGUAUCUACCCAUCCUGGAUUGCAUUCCCUCCCUUGCUUUUCUCAGAUUCUCAAACUCAUCUCAUGUCCUUCAUGACUUAUGUUCAUGACACUGUAUUCUUUUGAGUCACCGCAAGAAUGUUCCAGAUCCCCUUUCACUAACAGAAGUCCUCCCACUGCCAGCUCAAUCCCAGAGACACUUGAUACCCAACAUUUACAUAAUAUUUGUAUUUCUGCCUGUGUCAGGUAUUGGUUGAAUAGUCUACGUAUUAUCCUUGGCUUUGAAUUUUCCUGAAGGUUUUUCACGGGUGAUACAGGUUCUUAUUUUUCUUUAUUAGAGCAGAUGUAAUUUUAUAAAAGCCUCUAUCCCUAUUUUCAAAAACUCCUAUUUCUACUUCUACCUCUCAACAACUUCAUGAACCCAUACAUUAAAAAAAAUGUGAACAGUUAAAUAAUGAUUUUUUUUCUUGACCUGAUUGGUGUUAGGCUACAUUGCAAACCCCCCAACAAAUUUCAAGUAGUAUUAUUCUUUUUUAAUUAUUCAUGCUCUCUGCCCCCAUGUGUUAUCCUUGGUAUUUGGUGACUGCAAUGCCACAUUAUUUGGUCAAAAACCUUUGAAUAUGGGACUUUUCCUUACGCAUAAUUUUUUGAACCAUUUUAAGACAUGGGUUUAUUUUAUUUCAUUUCGAAGAGUGGAUUAUGAUGAAGACAGAACCACAUUUCAAUGAUGCUUUUAUUUAUGUCCCUUUUAGUUACUUUGAGCAUAGGAUUUGCAAGGACGGCAUUACAAAUAAAGCAGUUAGGUAAGCAUUUUUCCACUUCCAGUGAAAAAUCAGAGAUUGAAAAUUGCUUUUAAUGCAGCAGCCUGAGAUGUAGAGAAAGAAUACGCUGUGCCAUUAGAGUUGCCACCUGGUAUUGAUCACAGGCGAGGGGCCACCUAUUCCUGAGGGUUUCCCGCCUUGCACGGAUCGUAUAGGUGUGUGAGUGUUAUCUGCAGGAAACGUAACUUAUUUCAGCAUCAGAUAAGACAGGAUACACUUGGUUUGGACAUGACUCACUACCUCCACAUUGUAUUCAAAAGAGAGUGCUUUUAUUCUUUCUCAUUUCUUCAGUUAGCAUAAAAACUUCAUCAUACAUAAUACAGCCCUUGUGUACCUAUUAGACUUUGGCAUUUAGAUGGUCUUCUUGGGGCUUCAAAGAAUGAGAUAAUCAUUAAUUAAUGCUAAAAAUCCCCCCAAAUCCUUUUAUGUUGGGUAUUUCCAUAAUGACCUUCAUUUAAUCCAGGAGGGAGAUUAACGAACUAAUCCUGAAGUCUGUGUCAAAGUCAGUCACAAAGCUGGCAUCAGGCGUUGGACCUCCGUGUCUGCUUCCAUGCCAAAUGACUCGCCUGCGAGGGAAGCAUGAGGCACAAUGUAAGCUAAGCCACCACUUGCCGUGCUCCUGCGACUGCAUCUGCUGAAAGUCCUGGGCGAUGGGCGGCAAAGGCAGUAUCUUCAGGGACGCCUCGUUGUGAAGAUAACUAAGUAAGAAGGAGGUGGCCAAGUAGUGACCUUCACAGCCCUGGGUAUUGGCCCCAGCAGUGGCUUGAGUGGCAAAAGCUGAGCCAGCUUAGUAGCGUGUGUCUGCACUGUUGCAUUUUCCAUGCAAUAGCUCAUUUAACCCUCACAGUGAUACUGUGGGGAAACUGAGCCAUGCCGUUAUAUAACACAGCUGAGAUGUGAACCUCAAGUUCUAGAGUCUUCAGUCUUGAUGCUGUCUCCACUUUUCUGCUGGACUCUUCCUCGAGGUGACCCCUGCCAAGGUUAGCAUUAUCUUUCUCCAGUUGAAGGCAUUACCUCUCCUUGCAGCCUGCUCUGAUGUUUCACACCUGUAUCACCAUCUCGCGGGCAUUAGACAGGAAUUCCUGAGUCAGAGAGCACUCAGGAUGUACUCUUGCCCUCCUCAGACCCUCCCUAGCUUCAGAUGAAACCCACACUCCAUCUUGAACAAGGCAUUCAAACCCAUCUGAGCCAUGAUUGAAAUUUGACUCAGCAUUCUCAGAUUUAAUGCCUGGUGUCGCUCCUCGUGAGAUCAGUGACCCAGCCUUCCAGGAACAUCACUAGUUUCAAGGUUGCCUAACUCAACAACAACAAAAAAA
rnacentral:lncRNA from 1 species